GUGACCGCCCCGCAGCGACCGGUCGUGGCCGUUCCCGUCUCCCCGGAAGCGCCGCUCGGGUCCCGCUGCUCCGCGGAAUUCUUUUAACCUGGAGCCAAAGCCGUUCCUUUUCAGAUUCCUCUUGCAGUUUUCACUGUGAGGAGCCAGUUCUGGCAGGUAUCAAGGGAGAGCAAAGCACUGUCUCUGGGGAAGGGAAAAUGGGAGAGACCCAGCCUGUGUUUCCUGGAGUGCUGAAGCCUUCCCGUGAGAGGCAGAGGCACCUCAGUCCUGGAGGAUGUGGCUCCUACAGAUGAUAGACACAGCUCCUACCUGCCCCUUGCUCAGAACUCGUAGUCCCACAGCACCCAGCACUAACAGAAGUUAAAAACGGCAUGCACCUCUUCGAUGACUUUAUUUUUUCUGUCUUGGAUUGAAUUUCCAGCUGUUCCGUAAGUUCGAACAGACUCAAGCAAUGCUGCACAAGAGGCCCAAGAAAAAGGGUGCCAAGAGGAGAGAUAAUGGACUGGAUGAAAUCAGAGUCCUUUGGGGACCAACACCCUGCAAAAGCUUUACAGACUCUAUGACUUGAUGAGGUCAUGCAGAUGGAAGGUGCUUCCUGUGCUUCCUAACAAGCCUCCUCUCCUUUCUGCUGAAAUAAAGAGGGGCUGAUGCCUGUUCUCUAUUUGUGACACUA
rnacentral:lncRNA from 1 species